rnacentral:rRNA from 1 species
AUACGGAGGGUGCAAGCGUUAUCCGGAAUCACUGGGUUUAAAGGGUACGUAGGCGGCUAAAUAAGUCAGAGGUGAAAGCCCGGCGCUCAACGUCGGAAUUGCCUUUGAUACUGUUUAACUUGAAUUAGGUUGAGGUGGGCGGAAUGUGGCAUGUAGCGGUGAAAUGCAUAGAUAUGCCAUAGAACACCAAUUGCGAAGGCAGCUCACUGGCCCUAUAUUGACGCUGAGGUACGAAAGCGUGGGGAGCGAACAGGAUUAGAAACCCUAGUAGUCC